AUCAUCACUGGAGCCACCAUCAC
rnacentral:siRNA from 1 species